UACCAGCUCUCCGAGUGGUGGGGAUGCUUAUUGGGCCUAAAGCAUUCGUAGCCGGCUGGGCAAGUCCUCCGUUAAAUCCAGCGAUUCAAUCGUUGGACUGCAGGGGAUACUGUCCGGCUAGGGGGCGGAAGAGGCCGACGGUAUUCUCGGGGUAGGGGCGAAAUCCUAUAAUCCCGGGAGGACCACCAGUGGCGAAGGCUGUCGGCUAGAACGCGCCCGACGGUGAGGGAUGAAAGCUGGGGGAGCGAACCGGAUUAGAUACCCGGGUAGUCCCAGCUGUAAACUAUGCAGGCUAGGUGUUGGCGCGGCUACGUGCCGCUCCAGUGCCGCAAGGAAGCCGUUAAGCCUGCCGCCUGGGAAGUACGGCCGCAAGGCUGAAACUUAAAGGAAUUGGCGGGGGAGCACCACAAGGGGUGAAGCUUGCGGUUU
rnacentral:rRNA from 1 species